GAUAAGAAUGGACUGGCUAAGCCCUCUUUUCUUUAAGAAAACAGCUCCCACACUUGUGCAGGCCAAAAUAAUUAAGUAAUUAGCAAAGGCAUUUGUCAAAAUGCCCAGUGGGGCUGACGAAAAUGACAGCUUUGAGAAGGAUGAAGAGUUUGCAAAUAGCAUUUUCUCCCAGCUCCAGGUUGGGGUCAGGCCUGGGGCCUGUGAGGAACACGCCUGCCUGGGACUCCGGGGUCCCAGCUCAACCUUUGGGGUUCAAGUUCACUUCCCUGUGGCAAAAGCCAAGCUCCUAUUUCUAAGGAGGCAGUCUUGAAAGGCCUUUGGAACAUCAAAGGACUCCCCAAACACAGAAUGAUCGUGUGACGCAAGUCAAGUUCUAGGAAACCUAGCCAAGGAAACAACAGUAAGUCCAAAUGAGCUUCAAGUGGAUCAGCUGUUGUUCACAAGUGAACAGAACGUUCUUAUCAGGAGAGAGGCACACAGUGAUUUUGAACAGGCACUAUGAGAGCGCAGGCUACACGUCCUGGUUUAGGAGCCAUACUUUGUGGAAAGGUGAGAGUUGAAGCAUGACCUUCCACUGAGAGCCAGGUUCUCACUAUGCUGCCCAGCCUGGACUUCAAACUACGGGGCUCAAGUGAUCCUCCUGCCUCAGACUUCUGAGUAGCUGAGACUGCAGGCGUAAGCCACCAUGCCCAGUUUUGACUAUUAACUUUUAAGAUGAGGAACAGCGAGCUAACUACCUUGCCCAGACAGUAGGGAAAGCACCAGAAUGUAGUCGCUAUGCUGUACUGCACGCAACAUCUAUGAUCGAGGCAUAUGAUCAAGGCAUAGCCAUCCACAGAGACGAUUUAAUUGAAUUAGGCAAGUAAGAGAAUAUUGAACAACAAUGACACUUGACAUGUUGGAUGCUGGCACUCAGUGCAGGUUGGGAGAAUAAAUUACUUCCUUUGAAAUCUGCGAACAUUUCCUCUUUUCCAUAGACAUGGGCUGCUGGUAAUAAAAUAUGUAGAAAAUGAAAUUUUGGGAGCUUUACUUGUGUUUCUAAGGCUAGUUAUUCAG
rnacentral:lncRNA from 10 species